CGGUUAAAAAGCUCGUAGUUGGAUUUCUGUUGAGGAUGACCGGUCCGCUCUUUGAGCGCGUGAUGCUGGUUCAGCCUUGGCAUCCUCUUGGGGAACGCUACUGUGCUUGAUUGCAUGGGGCGGUAUUCAAGACUUUUACUUUGAGGAAAUUAGAGUGUUCACUGCAAGCGUUAGCAAUUGAAUACAUUAGCAUGGAAUAAUAAUAUAGGACCUUGGUACUAUUUUGUUGGUUUCUAGAACUAAGGUAAUGAUUAAUAGGGACAAUUGGGGGCAUUCGUAUUAACGCGUCAGAGGUGGAAUUCUUAGAUUGCGUUACGACGAACUACUGCGAAAGCAUUUGCCAAGGAUGUUUCCAUUGAUCAAGAACGAAAGUAUGGGGAUCGAAGACGCUUAGAUACCGUCGUAGUCUAUACCAUAAACUAUGCCAACUAGAGAUUGGAGGUCGUUCUCUUUAUCACUCCUUCAGCACCUUAUGAGAAAUCAAAGUCUUUGGGUUCCGGGGGGAGUAUGGUCGCAAGGCUGAAACUUAAAGGAAUUGACGGAAGGGCACCACCAGGAGUGGAGCCUGCGGCUUAAUUUGACUCAACACGGGAAAACUUACCAGGUCCAGACAUAGUAAGGAUUGACAGAUUGAUAGCUCU
rnacentral:rRNA from 1 species